CUCCAGACUCCUACGGGAGGCAGCAGUGGGGAAUAUUGCACAAUGGGGGAAACCCUGAUGCAGCGACGCCGCGUGAGCGAUGAAGUAUUUCGGUAUGUAAAGCUCUAUCAGCGGGGAAGAAGAUGACGGUACCUGACUAAGAAGCCCUGGCUAACUACGUGCCAGCAGCCGCGGUAAUACGUAGGGGGCAAGCGUUAUCCGGAUUUACUGGGUGUAAAGGGAGCGUAGACGGCGAUGCAAGCCAGAUGUGAAAGCCCGGGGCUCAACCCCGGGACUGCAUUUGGAACUGUGUGGCUGGAGUGUCGGAGAGGCAGGCGGAAUUCCUAGUGUAGCGGUGAAAUGCGUAGAUAUCAGGAGGAACAUCGGCGGCGAAGGCGGCCUGCUGGACCGCGACUGACGUUGAGGCUCGAAAGCGUGGGGAGCAAACAGGAUUAGAUACCCCAGUAAGA
rnacentral:rRNA from 1 species